rnacentral:lncRNA from 1 species
UAGCGCAUUUGUUGGAAGCCAAGCAGUCAAUGUUAGUGAGAUGGAAGGGUCAGAGGUUCAAUAGAAGGCUCAGAAAGCGCAUAGCAAUGAUUAAUCGAGAAAUUGAAGACCAUUGUCGGGUACUGUGCAAGCAGCAAUGGGAUGAAGUAUGUAAUUCUAUUGAUGGUCGCAUUAAAAGGGGAGGUGGCUGGAGUUUGCUCAGACAUUUACUAGAUGAGACAAACACUAAAUCUAAUCAGAGGACGGUGAUAGGUAAGCUGGUUCAUCAGGCGUGUCGGGACUCCACGGAGGAAGAGUUGCUGAAGGAUUUGGCUCGGAGA